rnacentral:rRNA from 1 species
AUUGAACGCUGGCGGCAGGCUUAACACAUGCAAGUCGAGCGGGGUGAUGGUGCUUGCACUAUCACUUAGCGGCGGACGGGUGAGUAAUGCUUAGGAAUCUGCCUAUUAGUGGGGGACAACAUCUCGAAAGGGAUGCUAAUACCUCAUACGUCCUACGGGAGAAAGCAGGGGAUCACUGGUGACCUUGCGCUAAUAGAUGAGCCUAGGUCGGAUUAGCUAGUUGGUGGGGUAAAGGCCUACCAAGGCGACGAUCUGUAGCGGGUCUGAGAGGAUGAUCCGCCACACUGGGACUGAGACACGGCCCAGACUCCUACGGGGGGCAGCAGUGGGGAAUAUUGGACAAUGGGGGGAACCCUGAUCCGGCCAUGCCGCGUGUGUGAAGAAGGCCUUAUGGUUGUAAAGCACUUUAAGCGAGGAGGAGGCUCUUUUGGUUAAUACCCAAGAUGAGUGGACGUUACUCGCAGAAUAAGCACCGGCUAACUCUGUGCCAGCCGCCGCUGUAA